GAGGCAGGGCCGGGCGAGCCCCCACAGGUCAGCCUUUGCUUAAAUGACACGUGUGCGAGCACGUGUGGAACGUUCCACGGGGACACACGGAGCCUCUUCGCUGUAGGCCGGGGGCUCCCGGGGGGUGACUGACCCAGGGCCGCCUGGGGACAUCUGGGGACACGUCUGGUUGGCGACACCGGGCGGAUGGAGGCCGGGGGUGUGGGUCAGCACCCCGCAGCGUCCAGGACAGCCAGGCCCGGAGACCAAGCAAAGGCAGCUGGACGUGCUGGGGCCCUUCGCCAGGUUCCCGGGUCACGGGGCCCGCGGAGCAGCUCAGAGGCCCCGGGAGGGGGCCACCCCGUCCAGAUCCGCCCCCACCCUGCCCGCCUGGCACGCGGCCCACAGCCAGUCACGUGAACACCGUUCUCAUGCCCUUGGGGCCUGGAGGCUGGCAGGGGGUGGCCGAGGGGCCCCUGGAGGCUGGCGCUUCUGCUCUGGCGCCACACAGGAAGGGGGUUUGGGGAGGUCUCUUGUGCCGAGGGGCCCUCAAGGACGGCCCCGCUCACCACCGGGGCAGCUGCCCAGCCUCAGGGGGAGGGGACGGGCCUGGCCUGGCUUCUGCCUUUGGCCCGUCGGGCUGGGCUCAGGGGCUCCUGACAGUGACCCGGUCUUCCGAGUUAGCCACUGGCUCUGUCUCCAGGGAGACCAGAUUUUAUUAAACCACCUCUACACCCAACGUGGGGCUUAAACGUACAACCCUGAGAUCAAGAGUCACAGGAUCUACUGACCGAGCCGGUUGGGCACCUCAAGUUUCUGUUGUUUUAGGCCACCAAGCUCGUGGUGGUUUGUUAGGGCAGCCACAGGACACGAAUACAGCUCUCCUGGCCCUAAACCCAAGGCACUCCUCAGCCCUCGGACGUGGGCCACUGGACACGGGAAUGCCGUCAGCCCACCAGGUGCCUCUGCGGGACUUAGGGAAACCCUCAGGAAGCCUCCACAGGAGUACCCUUGUUGGGACUGGCUACAGCCGCCCGACUUGAGUCCCCGAGCAACCCUGAGAACGUCCCCCAACCAGUGGCCUCCCCUCUCCGUGGACGGCCCCGCGGACUACCUAGGAGUGCUCUGCACACCUCCUUCCCACCGUCGCCCCUGCAAGCCUCAGAUGGCCUGCAGAGCGCGUGGGUGCUCUGCUCAGACUCCCACCCUCCGCCCCCCUUCCCACACGGGAUCACUCCCCAACGUCUCUGGUCGUGCCUCUCACAGGUAGGCAGGCGCCGAAGCACGAGGGAACCCCCUGCCGGCCAGGUUUCCUCUCCCUUCCUGGGUGCUCCUGGGGGCGCACGUGACUGCCUGCCUCGGGUUCUGCUUCUAGGGACCCCAGCCCCCCAGCCAAGGCCCAGCCCACCCGCACUGUCACGACCUCACCUGGCGGAUGCUGCAAGCCGAAAGCUUCCCCUCAACCACCUGAUGGGGGCCGUCCGCUCAACACCUAUUCCUCAAGCACGUUCCAUGGGCUCAGAACUGCUGGGCGGGAGGGUGGCGGUGCCAUCCCCUCCCGGGCACCAUGCUUCAGCCACGGGGAGGCUGGGCAGCCUGGGGGCCCCGCGCACCUGCCCGCUCCUCUCCCUGCGCCUGAAGCACCGGCCCUGCCCGCUGGGAGCUGCCUCCGGGGGCCUGGGGGUCCCGGCUGUUCAGUAUCCACUGCCCCGCCCUGGAAACAUCCACUUUCUGGCUUAAUGGACGGGGACGCCAUGACGCUAGUAAGAAGGCAUCUAGGAGGAACCCCGUGUGGGAGGCCUCGCUCCGCUCCGAGGCUUUGGAUCCUCUCCGGGCCGGUGGUUUCUAGGAGUGGUGGGGGCGGCAAGGGGGAACUGCGCCUGCGAAGGGCGUCUCGGAGACCAGCGGCCAGAGCUCCGGGCGCCGCCCCCACGCGCCCCCGCCCCGCAGUCCGCGUCCAGCGCCCGCGGGAGCCCAGCGCACCAGUGUCCA